CAGCCUAAUGGCUUUUCCCUCAUCAAACAUACCCAUUAGAUUCCUCUGCUUCUGCUUUCUUUGGACAACAGACCCAGGAAUUUCCACCAGUACAUACUAAUCUUUCCAAUGGGGACCAUACAAGCACCACAUUAUGCCAAAACAACGGCAUGCAAUUACCUCCGGUCGAUGAAUUCGGCCAAGGUAUUCCAUAGUUUCCAACAUUGUGUGAAGAUGAUCUGCAAAGCAUUGUUCAGAUGGGGUUUGGUCAAGAACCCAAACCACAAUACAGGAUUUCAAUCAUCCCACAUGAAAAUUGAACUGUGGUCACCAUUGAUUUGUCCUCAACUCAAGGCCCAGAGGCUGCUGUAUAUUAAUGGAUUUUUUUUACGA